UGGGGAAUAUUGGACAAUGGGCGAAAGCCUGAUCCAGCCAUGCCGCGUGUGUGAAGAAGGUCUUCGGAUUGUAAAUCACUUUAAGUUGGGAGGAAGGGCAGUAAGCGAAUACCUUGCUGUUUUGACGUUACCGACAGAAUAAGCACCGGCUAACUCUGUGCCAGCAGCCGCGGUAAUACAGAGGGUGCAAGCGUUAAUCGGAAUUACUGGGCGUAAAGCGCGCGUAGGUGGUUCGUUAAGUUGAAUGUGAAAGCCCCGGGCUCAACCUGGGAACUGCAUCCAAAACUGGCGAGCUAGAGUAGGGCAGAGGGUGGUGGAAUUUCCUGUGUAGCGGUGAAAUGCGUAGAUAUAGGAAGGAACACCAGUGGCGAAGGCGACCACCUGGGCUCAUACUGACACUGAGGUGCGAAAGCGUGGGGAGCAAACAGG
rnacentral:rRNA from 1 species